rnacentral:tRNA from 1 species
AGGGACUUAGGAUAAGCUAGACCAAGAGCCUUCAAAGCCCUAAGCAGAAGUUAAAAUCUUCUAGUCCCUG